rnacentral:lncRNA from 13 species
UGGCGCUAAUAAACUGCGUGUCGGCGAAAGCAUCGAAAGCAUCGUGCGAGGUACCGUGUGAUCUUCAUAACGGUGAUUGUCGUCGUACUCACCAUUGUAUCGGUUGUUACACCGCGAGUAUCGUGAGAGUUCGUUCGACCGAAUUCGUCGCAAGAGCGACGGCGUCAGUGAUCCGUCGGCAGUCGGUCGAUCGCAUUUUUCGAUCCGCCGGUGUUUAUUUUUUGGUCUCUAAUUCGUAUGUUUAUCAGCGUACGUGAGAAGUCGCGGACGUGAUAGUCGCUCGGAGACGUGCGUUUGUUGUGUGUCAGCAACGGUUGCGGUCACCGGACCAAGGAUUAGAUCGCUCGCGCCGCGGCGAGGUAAAGGUGUCGCAUGAAGGUAUCCGCGCGUACCUAUCGUUCGAGAGUCGUCGUCGUCCGUCGGCUAACGUCAUUGCUAUUGGAUGCCGAGUGACGCAGAGAUCGCAGCUCGUUUGUCGUUUCGCGUUAAUUUCCCGUUGUCGCGACGUAAUAAAUUGCGCAUCGCGCACAUCGGAAGCGUCUGGCAAGUGUAAGUCGCCGCGCGAUCUUUAUAUCAAAGUGAUUAGCGCCGUAUGUACCGGCACCUCGUUAGAUCGCGAAUUUCGUUCGAAGCUCGUCGUGUGAACGACGUCGUCAGUGGUCCAGCGCCGUCGGUCGAUCGCAUUUUUCAAUCCGCGGCUGUUUGUUUUCGGUCUGGAUUCGUAUGUUUAUCAGCGUACGUGAGAACGCGGACAUAGUAAUCGUCCGGAGCAACGCGUGUUGCGUGCGAGCAACGGUCGCGACUGCCCGGUCGACAGGUUAUGAUGCGUCGCGCGGCGCGGCGUAAAUGUGAUCGCGCGGACAUACUCCUGCGCUCGAGAUUCGUCGUCUAUCGCGGAGUGCCGUCCAGGAUGUCGCGCGAUUAUCGAGGUGAUUAUUGCUAACAAUAAGCAGUAGUGUUUUCGUGAGUGCGAGUACCAUAAAAAAGCGGGAACAAGAGAGGAGGAGGAGGAGGACCUGGGGGGCACCAGGCAACAGCGGAGCAACCACGAGGUCGAGAGAGACGUUGAAAACUCCGCUGCUGCGCAUCGUGUGCCGAGUUCUACACAGGGAAAGUAGCAGAAGCAUCUCAACGAAUCUCGAAGAAUACAAAUUAAG